UAUGACAAUUUCCUUGCCAGCGUACCCCAUGUUGCUGACAUGUUGCAGUGACAUUGAAUGUACGUGACCUUGCUCAAGGACCAAGGCAGAUUAGGGUGUUCCCGGUUUUAAGAUAAUCUUGUUUAGGGUGUUCCCAGUUUAGGUUCCAGGUUUAAGGUUUAAGAUUAUUCCUGCUGGGAAUAGGGCGUAUCCUGCUGCCUGAGUUCCCCUUGAGUUCUCACGGGAUUCAGACAGUAUAUUUUGGAGAUAGAAGCCCAGUGGAGGUGAAUUUGGGAGAGAAGGUGGAUUUGGGCAGAGAACGUGGAUUUCCCCAGAACGUGAUUGUAGACGGCUGGUGUGAGUUCGGGAAUAAAGAGUUGCUGUUUGAAUCUACAAGCUGUGUGGUGGCUCGUGAUUGUGUGCCCAGCCAGACUGCGGCAUUUGUGCCCAGCCAGACUGUGGCAUUUGGUGGCCCGUAUGGGGAACUUCUGAAUCUUAGAGGGAGAACAGCAGCCCAUUUGGAUUCCAGAGAGAUUAACUAAAACAGUUUCUACAGAUCGAAAAGAAGAUGAUUUGACUCAAAUCCAUAACAGCUGAUAUCCAGAACUCCAGCUUGGCCAUUCUUACAUCUGCGACAGUGAUUAACCAGGAUGCUUUUUUCAAUAGCUAUUUUAUUAUUGCAUUUUUCCACAUCAUAAGGUUCUAUUUUUAUUUUUUGAGCUCAUACAAACCUAGGUUAAUGUUUUUCUGAUCAGUUUUAUUUUUUGACUGUGGAGUUUUUAAACAUUGCAAUGGAGAUUUCACCUAGGUAAAGCUACAAGGCCUUUACUAUUUUCUUAUGUGUUGUACGUUUGUGUACACUCUUGUGUUUUGUGUUGUAUGUCUGUAUGUGCGUAUGUCCAUAUUUCUUAUAUGAGGAGCGCUCAUGAAAAAAUGGAUCCGAAUUAUUAUUAUUUUUUUAUUCACGUGAUUUAAAUGGUUUAAUUUAAAUUAUGUAAACAGCUGUUAAGGAUUGUUUUUAAAGGUGGUUAACAGAUCUGUUUGUUUACUAAUUUAAAUUAGGUAAAAAGCUGUUAAGGAUUGUUUUUAAAGUAGGUUAACAGAUCUGUUUGUUUACUUUCACCUUUCCUUUUCAUUAUAUUUAAUAAUUCUUUUCAGGAUAAUGUCUCUUUAGCAUCAUUGCCAGAAUUCCUAUCUCCAUCCCAGUGCCGGUGAAGAACUCAACAAGUAAUGCUCAAUCAAAGAGUCAACUUACUUUGGGAGGAAACAGAUUUUGGGAGGAAAUGGACAUAUUGAUAGAUUCCUCUGCUUUGAACUGCUUGCAGAACUUGCCUGGACUAUGUAACUAUCGUUUGGUGCAGCGAAUUGUGGUAAUGCUGGCAUAUCUUUGCUGAUGGUGUCACUAGUGAUGCAAUUUUUAUUUCCUUGCCAGCGCACCCCAUGUUAAUUGUGGUAGUGCUGACAUAUCUUUGCUGAUGGUGUCACCAGUGAUGCAAUUUUUCCCAAGGAGCCGUCAAUUGGCUUGGUGUCGUGGCAUUUCUGUAUCCUCCUCCCUUCUGCUAGUGAUGGUCUAAAAUUUGGGGGCCAAUGGCUUAUGCUGGACCGGUAGUCAGUGACGGGUAUGAUCCAAUUGCAGUGGUAUCAACCUAAGACAGGAGGCUGACGCCUAAAGGUCAGUUUUCCGAUGACGGGUAAGAACCAUAUGUUGAAUUGGACAACCUACCAGGCACGGUCCAUAAGCCACAUUAACCUCACUCCCCCACUGGCACCAAGGCCAAAUUUGGGGGCCAACAGAGGUGAGGCAAAGAACCUCACCCCCCCACUGGUGCAUAGACCUAUCCACAAGUAUGGCUGUAUGCUGGACCGGUAGUCAGUGACGGGUAUGAUUCAAUUGCAGUGGUAUCAACCUAAGACAGGAGGCUGACGCCUAAAGGUCAGUUUUCCGAUGACGGGUAAGAACCAUAUGUUGAAUUGGACAACCUACCAGGCACGGUCCUUAAGCCACAUUGCUUGUUGUUUAAUUAAUCAGAAGGGGGGAGAUGCUGGGAGCCAUUAGCCAAGUAGGUAUGACAAUUUCCUUGCCAGCGUACCCCAUGUUGCUGACAUGUUGCAGUGACAUUGAAUGUACGUGACCUUGCUCAAGGACCAAGGCAGAUUAGGGUGUUCCCGGUUUUAAGAUAAUCUUGUUUAGGGUGUUCCCAGUUUAGGUUCCAGGUUUAAGGUUUAAGAUUAUUCCUGCUGGGAAUAGGGCGUAUCCUGCUGCCUGAGUUCCCCUUGAGUUCUCACGGGAUUCAGACAGUAUAUUUUGGAGAUAGAAGCCCAGUGGAGGUGAAUUUGGGAGAGAAGGUGGAUUUGGGCAGAGAACGUGGAUUUCCCCAGAACGUGAUUGUAGACGGCUGGUGUGAGUUCGGGAAUAAAGAGUUGCUGUUUGAAUCUACAA